rnacentral:rRNA from 1 species
AGAACGAACGCUGGCGGCAUGCCUAAUACAUGCAAGUCGAACGAAUGCCCUUCGGGGUGUUAGUGGCGCACGGGUGCGUAACGCGUGGGAAUCUGCCCUUGGGUUCGGAAUAACAGUUGGAAACGACUGCUAAUACCGGAUGAUGACGUAAGUCCAAAGAUUUAUCGCCCAGGGAUGAGCCCGCGUAGGAUUAGCUAGUUGGUGGGGUAAAGGCCUACCAAGGCGACGAUCCUUAGCUGGUCUGAGAGGAUGAUCAGCCACACUGGGACUGAGACACGGCCCAGACUCCUACGGGAGGCAGCAGUAGGGAAUAUUGGACAAUGGGCGAAAGCCUGAUCCAGCAAUGCCGCGUGAGUGAUGAAGGCCUUAGGGUUGUAAAGCUCUUUACCCGAGAUGAUAAUGACAGUAUCGGAAGAAUAAGCUCCAGCCUAACUCCGCGCCAGCAGCCGAC